rnacentral:rRNA from 1 species
CCUGCCGGAGGCGACCGCUGUGGGAGUCCGAUUAAGCCAUGCGAGUCGAGAGAAUAAGAUUCUCGGCAUACCGCUCAGUAACACGUGGAUAACCUGCCCUGUGCUGGGGGAUAACCUCGCGAAAGUGAGAACAAUACCCCAUGGGUCACUAUGCCUGGAACGGUUAGUGGCUGAAAGCUCCGGCGGCACAGGAUGGGUCUGCGGCGUAUCAGGUCGUAGGGGGUGUAACGUACCUCCUAGCCUUCGACGCGUACGGGUUGUGAGAGCAAUUGCCCGGAGAUGGAUUCUGAGACACGAAUCCAGGCCCUACGGGGCGCAGCAGGCGCGAAAACUUGACAAUGCGAGAAAUCGUGAUCAGGGGACUCCAGUUGGCUGGAUCAAAAGUCCAGUCUGAACCGACUUUAAAUCGGUCGGGUAAUAGGGGCGGGAAAGACCGGUGCCAGCCGCCGCGGUAAUACCGGCGCCCCAAGUGGUCGUCACUAUUAUUGGGCCUAAAACGUCCGUAGCCGGUUUGGUAAAUCCGUGGGUAAAUCAGACAGCCCAACUGUCUGAAUUCUGCGGGGACUGCCAGACUUGAGACCGGGAGAGGUGCGGGGUACCUGCGGGGUACCGGUAAAAUGGGAUCAUCCCGUAGAGACCACCUGUUGCGAAGGCGCCGCACUAGAACGGAUCUGACGGUCAGGGACGAAGCCUAGGGGCACGAACCGGAUUAGAUACCCGGGUAGUCCUAGGUGUAAACGCUGUGGACUUGGUGUCGGGGACCUUCUGAGGGUUUCCGGUGCCCGGAGUGAAGAUGUUAAGUCCACUGCCUGGGGAGUACGGUCGC